GCCAUGCUUCUUCCUGUCCCAGGCUGCUGCUGCUAUGGCUGGUUGCUGCAAAUUUGGUCUCAGGAGCUUCUGGGGAGAAGAUGGCCAGGCCCUUUCCUGCCUCCUGCUGCUACUAGCAGCUGGUUUUGCCUCAGAGCUUUUGGACUACGUGGGCUGCACCCCUUCCUGCCUUGGGGGGCUGCUGCUGCUGGGUGCCCCCCCAGAAGAGGUCCUCUGCUGCACUGCACCCCAGCUUCUGCACCCCUGUUCUACCUUGCUGCCCAGCCCAUUGCCAAGCCAUGGUCAGAGGACAGCUUGGAGAGGGAGCCUGCGCUGCUUGUAGGCCCCUCCCACACCAUCACUUCCAGAGUGUUAAGGAACCUUGCCUUCCCCAGCUGCCCUGGCAGGCCACCCCCACCUUCACCUCCACUUUCACCAGGAGCAAGCCCUGAGUGGCUGAACUGGAUGGCUCAUACCAUCACUGUUACUGCAGUUUCUGCUGCUUCCCCCUCUUAGGAGAGAGGGAGAUUCCUUGCUGCACCACCUGACACCACACCUGCACUGGAUCAUUUCCUAAUUGACUGACUGCUCCCACCUUUCCCCACAGCUACCUUACUGCAUCUAAUCCUGAUUUGUCUUACUACUUACUGCUCUGCUGCUGAGUGACUGGCUGGAGGCUUGAGGGGCUUCUGGACAGAUCUUUCACAAACAAAGCCCCUCCAUUGCUCCAGCCAUCUUUCACAUCUGCCUCAGCAGCCUUCCCUGUGUGUUUUUUGCCUUUGUGUGAUAUUCAACUGACACCUACAUGUUUCAAGAAAUUGAUAGUGAAUGCAACAAAGCCUGAUAAAUGGGGAAGAAUGAUUGAAAGUCAAGCAGAAACACCUUUCAUAUUUUAGGUUUCCUUCCAGAUACCUUGAGAAGUGCAUUAUUUUGCAAGGAUGCCAUACUUUGAUGUUUUCUUUCUGAUUACAUGGUGACUCAUGGAUAUCAUCACUGCUGCAAAUUUGAUAACAGACCUGAAGUUGUAGUGGAUCUAAGUGAACUUAACCCAUUAUUCCAUAUAAAUUUAACUGUGACAUAUCAUUGUUGGGUACAUUUAAUUUCUUAUAUUGCUAUUUUCUUCCUUGCCUCGUGCCACUUUAAAUUCCUGUCAACUACUUCUGGAAUCUCACUAUUAUUUAUCAUAGGUGCAUUUUAUUCAGUGGCUGCUAAUAUAAAGUAUGUGCUUCAAAGUCAAACUAUAUAUGCAACAGUUAUAUAAAUAGUUCAUGUGCACAUAUAUUAGUGAGAGUUGUCAUUUCAUCAUAUACAUGUAAAAUAAUUCUUUCUCAAAUCCCUGAAUGCUAUAUCUAUUUAAAUAUUAAUGUAUCUGAUACAGUUUAAAUCUCUGACAUCUGCAGUUGAACUCCAAUUGUAGUCUUUUUCUCUUGUCUUGUAAAGAGAUGAAGUUUUCACUAUAUCCAAGAUUCUGUAGUUCAGAUAUACUAUUAUCUGCCUUGCUAAUGGCAUCAGACAGAUUUGUAUCCAUAAAGUAUGGAUUUUGUUGAGAAUAUCAUGUUUCUAAGAGAUAUCCAAAAGGAUGUAUGAUGUUCAAAUCAUAAUGUACUGUUAUUAAAAUACUGGAGGAAGGUGGGGUGGGAGGGGAGUUAAUGUAUUCUUCAAGGCUAGAGACAGACAUUCAAAAAACCUGAGCCUGAAUUGCUUCAAUCUUUGCAGGUUAGCCUAACUUGACUAGGCUGAACUGGUUUGAAACUGGACAAAUAUUCUCUCUGGACUGAGGAAAUGUAGACACAUGCCUGCAGUGGCUCAGGCUACAAGCCAGUGGGAUGCUAGAGAAACCCUCCCUUCCCUUCUGCAGGGAGCUGAGCUGAGUGGGGUAUGGCCAGGCUCCAGCAGGACUCUCUCAUUAGGGAUGUCUGCUUUCAUGGUCUCAGGCUUUUCCCCACUGGCAGCUUAAAGGGUGGGAGUGUUGCCAGCCUUCAGCCCUGAGCUAGCACUCUGAGGCAAAGAGCAGGGGAGGUGAACUGCUUGCAUCUGUUAAUGAUACGGAGCUUUUCAAUCUCCCUCCCUGCUUUGUUAAACUGUCUGCAGCAAACUGACAGAUGAGCAAGCCAUCUGGGGGGCUGAUAACAGUUUUUAUCACCUGAUUAGCAAAAUAAUAGCCUCUCUCCACAUUAGUUCAGACUUCUUAAACAGCUUACUGGCUGACUUGUUGAUUAGGUCCAAAAGUCCUAAACGGUCACUGUUCUGCCUGUCCCAGUGAAAUUAGAGAGUGACAUACACACAGAUACCUCUUGGCAUUAGGUAGCAUACCACAUGCUGGCUACAGUCUGCUCUAUGGCAGAGAGGAGGAAAGGAUCUCUGCUUAAGCAGUGAGUGGUGAGGGGUAGAGGGAAAUGGGGGCACAGGGAAGCCAGCAGACCCUGCUGUGCCUUCAAGCCUGUGCUGAGCUCCUGCCAGGGAGAAGAGGGGAGGGGCCAGCCCUGCUGUGGAGCAGAGAGCCCCACACAGCCCAGAGAGCAUGCCAGGAUGCUGGGGGUCUCUGGUUUAUCUUAAACCAGCAAGGGAUCCAGGACAGACAUUGCAUAAACUGGUUUGAGCCAAAUCAGUUAAGUCUGAUACUACAUUCAACCAAUUUUAUCUCAAACCAGUUUCAGCCAUUUUCAAACUGGUUUAUGUGCACUGAGCAUCUGUUCUGUUACAGGUUUAAACCAGUUUCUGAUCACUUAAACUGGUUUAUGUAUAAUGUCUGUCCCUAGCCCUCGGAGAAGUGAAGUGAAAAACAACAUAUAUUAAUAAUAUGACUGAAUCUGUCAAGUAUUGUGGCCUUCCUACUGUUAUGAAUGGGGUGAAAUGAGAAACAUUCUCACAAAGGUUAAGCUCUACAAACAUCUAUCUUCCAUCUCCCUUGUAUUCCUGUGCAUGUGUCAGUUUGGAUAGCUGCAU